CCCUUAGAUGUUCUGGGCCGCACACGCGCUACACUGAAGGAGGCAGCGUGUACUCCUGGAUCGAAAGAUUUGGGUAACCCGCGAAUCUCCUUCGUGCUAGGGAUUGAGGUUUGCAAUUAUCCUUCAUGAACGAGGAAUUCCCAGUAAGUGCAAGUCAUAAGCUUGCGCUGACUAUGUCCCUGCCCUUUGUACACACCGCCCGUCGCUACUACCGAUUGAAUGAUUUAGUGAGGACUUCGGACUGGGACCGAUGCGGCUUUCGGGCUGCGUCGGUAUUCUGGAAAGAUGUCCAAACUGUAUCAUUUAGAGGAAGUAAAAGUCGUAACA
rnacentral:rRNA from 1 species